AAGAAAUGAUGAACAGGAAGAAGGUCAUGAAUAACCGACAAUAUUUGCAUCGAUGCUGAUGCUUGCAGUAACAAAUCUCAGGAAUGUAUGAUCUGUGUCAAAGAAGAAGUUAGAAAACUAACCUGGUCCGUUAUUUCUUCUGCCGCAUAACAGCAUAUGAAGAGCCUAAUUAUUGCUACAAAACUACCCAUAAAAAAUUUCACUCUCUCUACAAUAUUUUUUUCCGUAUUCUGCAAUUUAUUAUAUUUAGGAUUAUAACAGAUAUUAUCAGUUUGUGCACAUAUCUUACAGCUAAAGUAUUAUAGAUCAAUCAAAAAGUAGGAUUCGAUUUUUACAUUAUUGCACACAUUCAGUAGAAAAACUUAUUCAUCAAUCAAGUAAUCACUAUCGAUGUCUAUAAUUAGACAUUAUUGUCUAUGAUAUAGACAUUAGCAAUAUUUAAUUGCCAGUAUUAUAUGUAAAUUAAUUUAAACAAGUGAAAAUAUCGAUCCGAAAUUUGUUUGACUAACACAGUAUAUAAAAUUUAGAAAAUAUACUUGAUAAUCAACGCAUACUCACAUUUAAUACUAACAGACUGAAUAUCAUCGCAUCAAUGAAUGUAACCAUCGCUGUCUUGAAAAUUAUGAUAUUAAAGAUACGAUUUAUUUCUCUCACGUAACUAAAAUAUCACAUAAUACAAUAAAGUAUAAAAUAUAUACAUUA